rnacentral:rRNA from 1 species
UACGUAGGGGGCGAGCGUUGUCCGGAAUUACUGGGCGUAAAGGGCGCGCAGGCGGCCGUGUAAGUCCGCUGUGAAAGACCGGGGCUCAACCCCGGGGUGUCAGCGGGGACUGCACGGCUGGAGUCCCGGAGAGGGAGGCGGAAUACCUGGUGUAGCGGUGGAAUGCGUAGAGAUCAGGUGGAACACCGAUGGCGAAGGCAGCCUCCUGGACGGGUACUGACGCUGAGGCGCGAAAGCGUGGGGAGCAAACAGG